AUUGAACGCUGGCGGCAUGCCUUACACAUGCAAGUCGAACGGCAGCACGGGGCAACCUGGUGGCGAGUGGCGAACGGGUGAGUAAUGCAUCGGAACAUACCUUUCAGUGGGGGAUAACGUAGCGAAAGUUACGCUAAUACCGCAUAUUCUGUGAGCAGGAAAGCAGGGGAUCGCAAGACCUUGCGCUGAUUGAGCGGCCGAUGUCAGUUUAGCUAGUUGGUGAGGUAAAGGCUCACCAAGGCGACGAUCUGUAGCGGGUCUGAGAGGAUGAUCCGCCACACUGGAACUGAGACACGGUCCAGACUCCUACGGGAGGCAGCAGUGGGGAAUUUUGGACAAUGGGGGCAACCCUGAUCCAGCCAUGCCGCGUGAGUGAAGAAGGCCUUCGGGUUGUAAAGCUCUUUCGGCCGGGAAGAAAUCGCACGGGCUAAUACCCUGUGUGGAUGACGGUACCGGAAUAAGAAGCACCGGCUAACUACGUGCCAGCAGCCGCCGUAAAAC
rnacentral:rRNA from 1 species